rnacentral:rRNA from 1 species
GACGAACGCUGGCGGUGUGCUUAACACAUGCAAGUCGAACGGUAAGGCCCUUUCGGGGGUACACGAGUGGCGCACGGGUGAGUAACACGUGAGUAACCUGCCCUCAUCUCUGGGAUAACAGUCGGAAACGGUUGCUAAUACUGGAUAUGAGCCUGCAAGGCAUCUUGUGGGUUGGAAAGAUUUUUUGGUUGGGGAUGGACUCGCGGCCUAUCAGCUUGUUGGUGAGGUAGUGGCUCACCAAGGCUUCGACGGGUAGCCGGCCUGAGAGGGCGACCGGCCACAUUGGGACUGAGAUACGGCCCAAACUCCUACGGGAGGCAGCAGUGGGGAAUAUUGCACAAUGGACGGAAGUCUGAUGCAGCAACGCCGCGUGCGGGAUGACGGCCUUCGGGUUGUAAACCGCUUUCAAUUGUGACGAAGCUUUUUGUGACGGUAGCAGUAGAAGAAGCACCGGCUAACUACGUG